rnacentral:rRNA from 1 species
CCCUUAGAUGUUCUGGGCUGCACGCGCGCUACACUGAUGCAUGCAACGAGUUUUCGACCUUGCCUGAAAAGGUUGGGUAAUCUGUUUAACAUGUGUCGUGAUGGGGAUAGACCAUUGCAAUUAUUGGUCUUCAACGAGGAAUUCCUAGUAGACGUAGUUCAUCAGACUGCAUCGAUUACGUCCCUGCCCUUUGUACACACCGCCCGUCGCUCCUACCGAUUGAAUGCUCAGGUGAGCCAUUCGGACUUUCAUCAUGCUGGUUUCCAGUUUUGAUGAAGGAAAGUCUUGCGAACCUUAUCAUUUAGAGGAAGGAGAAGUCGUAACA